AGCAAAAAUCUCAACUUUAUUAGAAGAGACGCAUUUAUUAGAUAAAAAGCCAAUGCCUGCUUUUACGGUAUGAAAAUUGGGGAUUUAUAAUAACUUAGCAAAUCGCAUAGUGAAAACAGGCGAUAAAUCAUUCAAGUUUCUGACCUAUCAGCUUUCGACGGUAUGGUAUUGGCUUACCGUGGCAGUGACGGUUAACGGGGGAUUAGGGUUCGAUUCCGGAGAGGGAGCCUGAGAAACGGCUACCACAUCUAAGGAAGGCAGCAGGCGCGCAAAUUACCCAAUUCUAACAGUUUGAGAGAGGUAGUAACAAGAAAUAACAAUACAAGGCAGUUAAAAUGCUUUGUAAUUGGAAUGAUAGAAAUUUAAACCCUUUUUAAAGUAUCAAUUGGAGGGCAAGUCUGGUGCCAGCAGCCGCGGUAAUUCCAGCUCCAAUAGCGUAUAUUAAAAUUGUUGCAGUUAAAAAGCUCGUAGUUGAAGUUCUGCUAAAAGUAACCGGUCUGCUUUGAAUAAAAGUGGUAUCUUGGUAUGUAUUUAGCAAUGAUGUCCUUUGAAGUGUUUUUUUCUUUAUUGUAAUAAAGCAUAUUCAGGACUUUUACUUUGAGAAAAUUAGAGUGUUUCUAGCAGGCCAACGCUUUGAAUACUGCAGCAUGGAAUAAUAAGA
rnacentral:rRNA from 1 species